rnacentral:rRNA from 1 species
AUGACCAAGUCGAUGAUGCCACUGCUUGAAGGAACCAGUAACAGAAGCGACAGCAGCGGAGGAACUGGCGAUGGUGGUGGCAGCGGAAGGAACAUGAAGCCAGUCCAACUCCCAAAGACCCUGAGAAUCACGGCGGCGAGGGCCAGCCCCAACCAGAGUGUGCGUGCGACGAUCCUGGACAGAACAAGAGUCAACAUCAAAGAUGACACGACAACCAGAAUCAGUAAGUUGACCGGCAGAAAACAGAUUCAUGGUAAGUCGAGGAACAUGAGCAACAUCAGGAACAGAAUAAGGAGUAGAAAGAUGGCCUCUACUGGCAACAGAAAGUGGAGUACCAUCAGCAGUAAAGACAUGAACAGGAGAAUCCAGCGAGCGAAGAGAAGACAAAGCGGAAGAAUGAGAAGACAUAUGAAAAGAAGCUCCAGAAUCCAGAACCCAUGGGGAUGUACCUGA